rnacentral:tRNA from 1 species
GCCCCGCCGGCGGAAUCGGCAUACGCACGCGUUUCAGAAACGCGCAUCUCCGGGUUCGAAUCCCGGGUGGGGUACCA